ACGCGGGAGAAACUAUUUUCUCGCGACACUUCCUUCAUUAUCCUGGUGAAGAAGACGGAGCCGUCCUAGUAAGAGCAGUCUGAAGAUGUUUCCACUCGUCGAGCUUCAGCAGCUAUCUGUUAAUAAGAAGUCUGGUGUAGAUUAGCCACCUUAAACGGGGUUUUAAUCGCAGAAGUUGGACUGGUGUGGGGGUCGAUGCCUUAAAAGGACCAUGAAGAUGUUCUGGAUGUGAAAACUCAGGACCAGGUAGUGGAUCAGGCAAGU